rnacentral:rRNA from 1 species
ACGAACGCUGGCGGCGUGCUUAACACGUGCAAGUCGAGCGGUAAGGCCCUUUCGGGGGUACACGAGCGGCGAACGGGUGAGUAACACGUGGGUGACCUGCCCUCAGCUCUGGGAUAAGCCUGGGAAACUGGGUCUAAUACCGGAUAUGACUCCAUGACGCAUGUUGUGGGGUGGAAAGCCUUGUGCGGCUGAGGAUGGGCCCGCGGCCUAUCAGCUUGUUGGUGGGGUGAUGGCCUACCAAGGCGACGACGGGUAGCCGGCCUGAGAGGGCGACCGGCCACACUGGGACUGAGACACGGCCCAGACUCCUACGGGAGGCAGCAGUGGGGAAUCUUGCGCAAUGGGCGAAAGCCUGACGCAGCGACGCCGCGUGAGGGAUGACGGCCU